ACUGUCCUAAAUUGCUGCCCCAUGCUGCCAAAACCUGCACCUUGCUGCUGCUCUGCUACACCAACCUUGCUGGUACCCUGCUUCUCACAACAGUCCAAACUUAGCACCAAAAUGGACAACUCCAUAACCUGCAUCAAUAAAGAAAAAACUACAGCAAGAGAGAAAGAGAACUGAAAAAAUCAGAAUUACCAACAACUUGUAAAACAAGCUUGAAACCUCACAAAUUUCCCUCUCAAAAAUAUCACAAUCUCAGCUAUAAAAUGAGACAUUCAUCAACACAAAAGGGGGCCAAAAACAGAAUCUCACCUUCCAAACACAAAAUCAAAGCCACAACUCUCAACCUGCCCUCACUCAAAAAACCAACGAAAAUAUCACAAAACAAUACACAAACCUCCCUCACACACUCAAACCUUAAUCUCACUGCAAAACUCAUAACACUGAAAUCACUCAACCUCAUUCAAUCCUUCAACCAAACCUUAACAAACUCAACACCUUACAAAUACACUCACCACUCUCUGUACGCACAACAUAAACACAGCAACACAGAAAAAGAAGAGACCGCAACUCAUCAAACACCUCACUCCACGAUUCAACCUUCAGCACUUGUUCAACAGCCUCAGUUCAGAAUCAACACAACAACAAACAGAACCAAUACAAUAGGUCCUCGCUAAUUCCAUACUCUCGCAAACCGCAACUCACGAAAGGUAAAAGAACUAAGGAGGGUGUCAAAGAAAACCUACCUGAAUCUGUUCGGACUCUCGCCAACGUCAAAGCUACCCGGAUUAAUUCCGGUGUUGAGCAAAUUUUCUCACAUUAAUUUUCUCGCAAUGAGUUCGAAGAUGAUGACGAUUCAAAUUCUCUCUACGCUCUAGAUUUGGCCUCACCCCAUUUGAUUUCGAUGUCAGUGAUAGUUUCCCGUCGACUGACUUAGUCCUCAAACGCAUGGUAAGAUAUGCCCUUUCACAUAAUUUCCGGUAAUACAAGUGAAAAUCUAUGUCUGACCCAUUUUUCUUCUCUUAAACACCUAUGCAUUGAUGCUGAACAAGUUGGCUUUCAUAACUCUGCCCUCCAAGAGGAUUCUGCAGUCCUACUCAGCUCGUUGCAAGACCUUCCUAAUAUCAGAUCAUUGACGGUCUCUUCUAAUACUCUGCAGGGUUGACUCUUACGCUGGAGUAGUCGUGCGAGGCAGUUUUUCGGCUUGUUAAGCUAGUGUUGGUUCUGGUGUGUAUCUGUUUGGUUUUGGAUCGUUUGGGUAGGCAGUGUUGGUCCUGCUUUGGUUCUAUCUGGUUUUUUAUUUGUGUUGCAGGAAGAUCCCAAGUGAUUCAAAUUCAUCACCUAAAAGGAUAGUUCGUCGCUCUAGAAGUGGUUAAUCGGGUCUCUAGUGGAAUUGGUUUAUUGAGAUGUUGGGGUCGCGGGUGACAUUUGACCGAUUUUCUGUGUGUUUUUAUAGUUAUAAUGUUUGUUGAUGUGUGUGGUUAAAGCCGGUUUUGGAGGCUGCAAUCUGCUGCCAAGUGGUUAAGUUAGUUUUUGUAGUGUUAUUCCGUCCUCGUAGGAAUACGCACUUAUCUUUUUCGGCGUUGUCGCUUAGUACCAUAGUUGGGUUGCCAGUGUUUGGUGGCACAUGUUCUGAAUUGUGCUUUGGUUUUCUUGUUUGGGCGCCGAUCUUGCACUGUCAAUGCUCAUUAUUAUAACAUGUGGUGUUCUGGUGGUUUAUUCUGGAGGGUGCUCUUUUGGAGGGGAGAUGCUUUCAUUUCUGUUGGUGUCAUAGAAGUUUGCUUAUGACAGAACUUUUGAUCUUUUGUUUCAGGAGAUUAUUGCUGCUUUGUAGUAACAGGAAAAUAUUGCUUUGCUGUUUGGAUGGUUUGUACGUUUGGUAGUAGUGUUUUCGAUAUCUACUAGCUUGUUUGUAGAGUUUUGUGUAUCAUGGAACUUAAAUGAUUGUGGAUGAUGACUGCAGUGGCUGGUGUUUGGUUUGCCUUUCUUAAAUUAAGCAUGUCUUCAAAAGUUUUUAAAUUUGGUUUGCCUUUGUGUUUGGUUUGAUUCAAAAUAUUUUAUCACUUUUAGUUUUAAACUAUAUAAAUUCAUUUGUUACUAUAUUAUUGUAGGUAAAGUUCUUAAUGCAUAUAUUAUUUAUACAUUUUCCUUUGCUAAGUCUCAGUGAUAGAAACAUGUGGUGUAAAUUAUUCUUUGGUGGUUAUACUAAUUUGUCUUGUGCUUAAUAUUGAGAAUGAUAGUUUGUUUAAUUUUUCAUGCUUUUUCAACUGUUUGUUAUGUUGUAUAAUAUUUAUAUGAUCGGUAAAUAAUAUUUAUAGAUUGUUCAAAAAAAAAAACAUUGAUCUCUUUCUCAUAUUAUUAAGAAAAUAUGUUGUUCCAUUUUAUGCAGAAUUUUCUCAACUAAAGGAUGAAGCUACUCAAUGAUAGAGAAAGCAAAUGAAAAUUGUCACUGCAAUCAGUCCCACUUGAAAGAGUUUUAAUUCUUUUGAUAGAUGAAAACACUACUAGUCAACUAUGUAUAAAAUUUUGUGUAUUGUAAAAAAUUGUGAAAGGCUGAAUAAUAUAUUACUCGGCCUAAAAACUCAAUUAACUCGAUAACCCAAAUAAAAUGUUUGCAUCAACCCGGAUCCGUCUAGACCCAACUUGUUCAAAUCGAUUUAAAAUUUGAACGGAAAUGGGUCUUAAAAAAUCAACUGUGGGUUGAGUUGGCCGUCCAAACCGGUCCGUUGUCCACCCUAUGAGUGUCUAUAAUGAUACACUUUUUAGACCAUCACCAUGAUUUUUUAUAGUUUUGCCUUCGAAGUUGUUCAAUAUACUACAUACAUAUCUUUGAUUUCUCAAAUGUAAAACAAUACUCGAACUCCUAUAUCAAUGGCUCUCUUUUGUGAUAUGCUUUUUCCAAAUCAAUCAAUCAUUUGCAAGCACACGUUAUAAGAUAGUUGAAGAAUUCUUUUUCUAACUUUGGAUUUGUAUUGUAUUUUUUUUUUUUUGGUUUUGCUAAAAUGAAGUUGAAUUUACUCUCACCAAAAUUAAUUUAUGAUUUCUAUAUAUUUUAUAUCCUUUAU